rnacentral:lncRNA from 1 species
AUGAGUGGAUUAAAUUUACCAAUUAAAAAAGAAAGAAUAGAGUCCUAGGUAACUCGCAUCUGAUGGGGGCUAUUUUGUCUCAAUCUUUGUUAUCCAGGACCCUAGGCCGCAAGAACUGUGGAGACAAAAUGCCAGCCAUCUUAAUGGAUGUAAGUGUUAUUUCAUUGUAGUUUUGAUUUGAAUUUCCCUAAUGAUACUGAUUUUGACCAUCUUUUCAUGUGCUUAUUGGCCAUGCAUAUAUCUUUUUUGGAGAAAUGUCUAUGUCUAUUCAAGUCCUUUGUGUUUUUUUGGCUUUUUUUCUUAUUUUGCUGAGGAUGAUUCACCCUGAGCUAACAUCCAUUGCCAAUCCCUCUUUUUUUUUUCUUUGCUUGAGGAAGAUUAGCCCUGAGCUAACUAACACGUGUGCCAGUAUUCCUCUAUCUUGUAUGUGGAUUGCUGCCAAAGUGUGGCUGACAAGUAGUGUAGGUCUGCGCCCGGCAUCCAAACCUGCAAACUCAGGCUGCUAAAGGAGCGCACUAACCUGAACCACCACACCACGAGGCUGGCCCCUGCCUAUUGAAUUGGUUUGUUUGGUUGUUGAGUUUUAGAAGGUCUCUAUAUAUUCUGUAUAUUAAUCCUUUAUCAGAUAUAAUAAAUAUUAUCUCCCAUUCUGUGAGUUGCCUUUUUACUCUGAGGAUAAUGUAUUUUGAUGUACAAAGUUUCAAAAUUUUAAUAAAAUCUCAUUUGUCUAUUUUUUCUUUUGUUACCUCUGCCUUUGGUGUCAUAUUCCAGAAAUCAUUGCCAAAUCCAAUGUCUUGGAGCUUUGCCCUACGUUCUCUUCUAAGAGUUUUAUUGUUUUAGGUCCUUGAUCCAUUUUGAGUUAAGUUUUGUAUAUAGUGUUAGGUAAGGGUGUAACUUCAUUCUUUUCCAUGUGAAUAUCCAGUUUGCCUAGCACCAUUUGUUGAAAAGAGUGUCCUUUCCCCAUUGGAUGGUCUUGACACCUUUGUCAAGAAUUGUUUGACCAAUCCCAUUUGCAACAACAUAGAUAGA